AUUGAACGCUGGCGGCAGGCCUAACACAUGCAAGUCGAGCGGAUGAAGGGAGCUUGCUCCUGGAUUCAGCGGCGGACGGGUGAGUAAUGCCUAGGAAUCUGCCUGGUAGUGGGGGAUAACGUCCGGAAACGGGCGCUAAUACCGCAUACGUCCUGAGGGAGAAAGUGGGGGAUCUUCGGACCUCACGCUAUCAGAUGAGCCUAGGUCGGAUUAGCUAGUUGGUGGGGUAAAGGCCUACCAAGGCGACGAUCCGUAACUGGUCUGAGAGGAUGAUCAGUCACCUGGGAACUGGACACCGGCCCAAGUCCCCCGGGGGGGCACGAGUGGGGAAAUUUGGCAAUGGGGCGAAAGCCUAACCCAGCCAUGCCGGGGGGGUGAAGAAGUGCUUCGGUUUUUAAAGCCCUUUAAGGUGGGAGGAAGGGGAGUAAGUUAAGACCUGGCUUUUUGGGCGUUACCAAAAGAAUAAGCCCCGGCGAACUUCGG
rnacentral:rRNA from 1 species